rnacentral:rRNA from 1 species
AGUGAACGCUGGCGGCAGGCCUAACACAUGCAAGUCGAGCGGCAGCGGGUCCCCGCGAGGGGAUGCCGGCGAGCGGCGGACGGGUGAGGAACACAUCGGAAUCUGCCUGGUUGUGGGGGAUAACGUAGGGAACUUACGCUAAUACCGCAUGCGACCCUGAGUCGACGGACUUGGGGUGAAAGUGAGGGACCUUCGGGCCUCACGCGACCAGAUGAGCCGAUGUCGGAUUAGCUAGUUGGCGGGGUAACGGCCCGCCAAGGCGACGAUCCGUAGCUGGUCUGAGAGGAUGAUCAGCCACACUGGGACUGAGACACGGCCCAGACUCCUACGGGAGGC